UUUCACGUUAUUUCUUAAAAAUAAAAAGGCCCAAGGCUUCAGGUGCGCAAAGGACAAAACGGAGAAAAGAGGAGGAGGAUAAGGAAACACAAUAUAAAGGUGAAAGAACAACAAGCACAAGAUACACUGCAGCCUGCAGACACCCCAUCAACUGGAACAUAUCCUGAAGUAUGUGAGUCCAUCAAGGCAGCACCUAUUGAUCCUUCUGACUGGCCAGUCGGCCUGUCUGAUAUGGUUUCUGAUGGAGUGAGUCUGAGCCAGCAGAAGGACAUGGCAGAAUGCUGCCUUUGGGACAUUACUCCACUGGAGGAAUCAUC